GACGAACGCUGGCGGCGUGCCUAAUACAUGCAAGUCGAACGGGGAGUUAUUUAUAACUCCUAGUGGCGAACGGGUGAGUAACGCGUAGACAACCUGCCUCUAAACUGGGGACAACACCGCGAAAGUGGUGCCAAUACCGAAUGUGGUAUCUUGAUCGCAUGAUUGAGAUAAGAAAGAUGGCCUCUACAUGUAAGCUAUCGAUUAGAGAUGGGUCUGCGUCUGCGUAGCUAGUUGGUGAGGUAACGGCUCACCAAGGCGACGCUCAGUAGCCGGUCUGAGAGGAUGAACGGCCACACUGGGACUGAGACACGGCCCAGACUCCUACGGGAGGCAGCAGUGGGGAAUCUUCCGCAAUGGACGAAAGUCUGACGGGGCAACGCCGCGUGAGUGAAGAAGGUCUUCGGAUUGUAAAGCUCUGUCGUUUGGGACGAACGUAUCCUGUGUGAAUAAUGCGGGGUAAUGACGGUACCAAAGGAGGAAGCCACGGCUAACUACGUGCCAGCAGCCGCCGUAA
rnacentral:rRNA from 1 species